rnacentral:rRNA from 1 species
UGCGUCACACAUUAAACUAUAGAGACCGCUGUUUCUUCUUUAAACCAGAGGAAGGAUACGGCAAUAACAGGUCUGUGAUGCCCUCAGAUGUUCCGGGCUGCACACGUGCUACAAUGAUCAUUGCACUGUGCAUCUAACCCAAUGUGCGCGGACGCCMCGAUAUUAUAAUUGUCUUCGGGCAUUUUAUAUAUUCGCUUGUGCGACUGCGCCGAACCUACUUCGAAAGUAAAAUUUUUAAGUGGGUAAUCCAUUAGAAGUAAUGACUCGCAUAGACCAUGGCACACUAUAUGUACGCGCAGGUCUACCCGGCUCGCCUUUGUGUGAGUGCAGUGCGUAGCUUGUUGUUUCGUACGUGCCACUCCGUAUUAAUUCGUACGUGGGGAUAGAUCAUUGUUUAAUUGUUGGUCUCGGUCUUAACUAGGAAUGCCUUGUACGGGUCUUUGGUUCAACAUACCACCCGGAAUACGUCCCUGCCCUUUGUACACACCGCCCGUCGCUCUUACCGAUGGAUUAUACUAUGAAUCUAUAGGACUGCCAAAGCUUUGCGGCGUGUUCGCACACCGCGCUUAGUGGAAAUAUAUAUGAAUAGUGUGAUC